rnacentral:rRNA from 1 species
AGAGUUUGAUCCUGGCUCAGAUUGAACGCUGGCGGCAGGCCUAACACAUGCAAGUCGAGCGGAUGAAGGGAGCUUGCUCCUGGAUUUAGCGGCGGACGGGUGAGGAAUACGCAGGAAUCUACCUAGUAGUGGGGGAUAACGUAGGGAAACUUACGCUAAUACCGCAUACGACCUACGGGUGAAAGCAGGGGACCUUCGGGCCUUGCGCUACUAGAUGAGCCUGCGUCGGAUUAGCUAGUUGGUGGGGUAAAGGCCUACCAAGGCGACGAUCCGUAGCUGGUCUUAGAGGAUGAUCAGCCACACUGGGACUGAGACACGGCCCAGACUCCUACGGGAGGCAGCAGUGGGGAAUAUUGGACAAUGGGCGAAAGCCUGAUCCAGCCAUGCCGCGUGUGUGAAGAAGGCCCUCGGGUUGUAAAGCACUUUAAGCGAGGAGGAAAGGUUGAAGGUUAAUACCCUUUAGCUGUGACGUUACUCGCAGAAUAAGCACCGGCAAACUUCGUGCCAGCAGCCGCGGUAAUACGAAGGGUGCGAGCGUUAAUCGGAAUUACUGGGCGUAAAGCGCGCGUAGGUGGUUAGGUAAGCGUACUGUGAAAUCCCCGGGCUCAACCUGGGAACUGCAGGACGAACUGCCUGACUAGAGUAUAGUAGAGGAGUGUGGAAUUCCCGGUGUAGCAGUGAAAUGCGUAGAUAUCGGGAGGAACAUCAGUGGCGAAGGCGGCACUCUGGACUGAUACUGACACUGAGGUGCGAAAGCGUGGGUAGCGAACAGGAUUAGAUACCCUGGUAGUCCACGCCGUAAACGAUGU